rnacentral:lncRNA from 1 species
UACAUUAGUCCACAACCACUGGAUGUAUAUUUAAUUAAUUGGAUUAAAGAUUUGGAAUGGGAGCAUCCGAACCUAAAAUGUGAUUUAUAUGGCACAGAUAACCGUAAUGAGUUCAAACACGCCAACUGAGAUCUAAAAUAUUUUAUAUGGCUCAUCAGAAUGCCUGCAUACAGGGAUGCAUGCAUAGCUUGAUGUAAGGU